AGCUGAAGGAAGAUUUGGCAUUUCGGGUUCUGCAGGGGAAGCUGAGACUGAACAGGAAAUUCUGAGGAGGAACCAGUAACAUUCUCACAAUGGAGCUGAUGAAACCUUCAAGAACUGCUGGCUUACCAAAGGAAGAAAAUGCCUAACUCAUCCUCAGUAUUCUUGAAACUGAGAAUGAUGCAGAGUCUCUUUUUCUGUGGAAUCAAGGAGAUACUGUUUUGGAGAACAAUUCUGGAUAAGGUCACAGAUAACUCAGGGAUAGCCCCAAAUCCCUGAAGACACUAGCCUUCCUCGGAAGGCUCUGAGAGCUUCUCACAAAAGGUACAGAAUGACCAGGAUAAGCAGUGCCCUUCAAAGGAGGCAUUUAGAGGAAAGUGUCUCCACAGGCCUGAUCUCUAGCUCUCUCUUUGAAAGCAUAAUCAUACUCAAGAAUGAGAACAAUGUAAAUCGCCAGCAUCGUUAGGCAGAAUCUCGAUGAAUUAAAAUUGCUUACAUCAGGGUAAGACUUGGUCCACUGCCUCAAAAGGAGGCAGAGUGCUUGGGUACACAGAUUUCCAUCCAGUCUAAAGCCCACUGUCAGAGUCUCAUGGUCUCAGACUCAGUACAAGAGAUAGUCAAAGCCUGAUAAGAUCAUCCUCGUCUGGAUGGGCCAAAUUAUCCUGCUGUUUAGUUCCUCUUUAAUACUCAUCUCUCAGAGACAAAUUACCCGGGAAACACUGAUGGGACUGAGCCUCCAAAAGGCAAGCUCUGCCUCACAGAUUUGGGAGUGCUUCUCACAACAUGCGGACGAGAGAGCUAGACAAAAAUGUCCAAGAUAUCGCCCACUAAGAAAAUAAUCGUAUCUGGAUCACCAAGGAAGCCCGGAAAGUCCCAUACACCCUUAGAUGGUGCAAAUUCCCAAAACAAAAUAGAGCCAGUAGGUCCUGAGUGUUGAGGAAAGCCUGGGAGAUUUUAGUGCCUGACACAAGUAACGGGGGAAAUGUCAGAUGUAUGGCUGGACACAAAUCAUGAUCAAAAGCUCUAUCAUAAGACUCCAGAGGAGUGGGAAAAGCAAUCACCUGGGAACAAGUCUUGAGAACUACUAAAUAUAAUUGUCACUUCGGAGAGUCUGGCUUUUAAGUAUCAAUUCUAAACUGUGAAAAGGAACUCCUUCCAAGAAGUUCUAUCAUAGUAACUUCUCGAUGAUGAUGAUAAUGAUGAUAAUGAUGAUGAUGCUGGUGGUGGUGGUGGUGAUGGUGAUGGUGGUGAUUCAAAACAAAGUAAAAUUAUAUUUGAGAAUUUGGGAGUUGCUUCCUUCUGAGUAUUCCUCGAAUGUAUUCUAGUCUUAACAUGAUAAUAGUAGAGGAGAAGGAGAGGUCCUAGAUUGGAUGUUGUGUGUGCACUUGUGUCUGACCCACAGGCUUUGCUCCCUCUUUCACUGCACAUUCCCAAGGGAAUCUUAUCAUUGUCCAAUUUGUGCUGUGCCAUUUGACUUAAACUUGAACUUUCUCCUAAGCAAAUAAAGACAGACCUGGUAGAAGA